UUUUGUUCCUUAUCGCCGGCUGGAGUUUUGACGCUGAGGCACGAAAGCGUGGGGAGCAAACGGGAUUAGAUACCCCGGUAGUCCACGCCCUAAACGAUGAAUGCUAGUCGUCGGAAAGCUCGUCUUUUCGGUGAUGCAGUUAACACAUUAAGCAUUCCGCCUGGGGAGUACGGUCGCAAGAUUAAAACUCAAAGGAAUAGACGGGGACCCGCACAAGUGGUGGAGCAUGUGGUUUAAUUCGAAGAUACGCGAAGAACCUUACCUAGCCUUGACAUUGAUAGAAUCUGGUAGAGAUACCGGAGUGCCUGCUUGCAGGAACUUGAAAACAGGUGCUGCACGGCUGUCGUCAGCUCGUGUCGUGAGAUGUUGGGUUAAGUCCCGCAACGAGCGCAACCCUCGUCGUUAGUUGCUAACAGUUCGGCUGAGCACUCUAGCGAGACUGCCUUCGCAAGGAGGAGGAAGGUGAGGACGACGUCAAGUCAUCAUGGCCCUUAUGGCUAGGGCUACACACGUGCUACAAUGGGGCGUACAGAGAGUUGCGAUACCGCGAGGUGGAGCCAAUCUCAUAAAGCGUCUCUCAGUUCGGAUUGAUCUCUGCAACUCGAGAUCAUGAAGCUGGAAUCACUAGUAAUCGUAGAUCAGCAAUGCUACGGUGAAUACGUUCCCGGGUCUUGUACUCACCGCCCGUCACACCAUGGGAGUUGAUUUCACCCGAAAUCGGGAAGCGAACCUUCGGGGCGCUACCGCUUACGGUGGAAUUAGCGACUGGGGUGAAGUCGUAACAAGGUAACCGUAGGAG
rnacentral:rRNA from 1 species